rnacentral:piRNA from 1 species
UAGAACAUGCUGUCUGUCACCCAGGUCC